rnacentral:miRNA from 1 species
ACUGAGUUGCCUAAUGUCGUU